rnacentral:rRNA from 1 species
AUUGAACGCUGGCGGCAUGCCUAACACAUGCAAGUCGAGCGGAUGCAGGGAGCUUUCUCCUUGAUUCAGCGGCUGACGGAUGAGUAAUUCCUAGGUAUCUACCUUGUAGUUGGGGAUAACGUCCGGUCACGGGCGCUAAUACCGCAUACGUUCUGUGUUCGAACGUGGUGGAUUUUCGGACCUCACGCUAUCAGAUUAGCCGGGGUCGGAUUAGCUAGUUGGUGUGGUAAAGGCCUACCAAGGCGACGAUCCGUAACUGGUCUGAGAGGAUGAACGGUCACACUGGAACUGAGACACGGUCCAAACUCCUACGGGAGGCAGCAGUGGGGAAUAUUGGACAAUGGGCGAAAGCCUGAACGAGCAAUGCCGCGUGUGUGAAGAAGGUCUUCGGAUUGUAAAGCACUGUAAGUAGGGAAGAAGAAGAGUAAGAGUAAAUCUUACUGUCUUGACGGUACCAAAAGAAAAAGCAACGGCUAACUACGUG